ensembl:lncRNA
CCCCAUAGAGCCCCAUAGCCGCCCCAUAGAGCCCCAUAGAGCCCCAUAGAGCCCCAUAGCCGCCCCAUAGAGCCCCAUAGAGCCCGAUAGAGCCCCAUAGCCGCCCCAUAGAGCCCCAUAGAGCCCCAUAGAGCCCCAUAGCCGCCCCAUAGAGCCCCAUAGAGCCCCAUAGCCGCCCCAUAGAGCCCCAGAGAGCCCCAUAGAGCCCCAUAGAGCCCCAUAGCCGCCUCAUAGAGCCCCAUAGAGCCCCAUAGCCGCCCCACAGAGCCCCACAGAGCCCCAUAGAGCCCCAUAGAGCCCCACAGCCGCCCCAUAGAGCCCCAUAGAGCCACAUAGAGCCCCAUAGAGCCCCAUAGCCGCCCCAUAGAGCCCCAUAGAGCCCCAUAGCCGCCCCAUAGAGCCCCAUAGAGCCCCAUAGCCGCCCCAUAGGGCUUCAUAGAGCCCCAUAGAGCCCCAUAGCCGCCCCAUAGAGCCUCAUAGAGCCCCAUAGAGCCCCAUAGAGCCCCAUAGCCGCCCCAUAGAGCUCCAUAGAGCCCCAUAGCCGCCCCAUAGAGCCCCAUAGAGCCCCAUAGAGCCCCAUAGCCGCCCCAUAGAGCCCCAUAGAGCCCCAUAGAGCCCCAUAGAGCCCCAUAGAGCCACAUAGAGCCCCAUAGCCGCCCCAUAGACCCCACUAGAGCCCCAUAGCCGCCCCAUAGAGCCCCAUAGAGCCCCAUAGAGCCCCAUAGAGCCCCACAGAGCCCCAUAGCCGCCCCAUAGAGCCCCAUAGAGCCCCAUAGCCGCCCCAUAGAGCCCCAUACGAGCCCCAUAGAGCCCCAUAGCCGCCCCAUAGAGCCCCAUAGAGCCCCAUAGAGCCCCAUAGAGCCCCAUAGAGCCCCAUAGCCGCCCCAUAGAGCCCCAUAGAGCCCCAUAGAGCCCCACAGAGCCCCACAGAGCCCCAUAGCCGCCCCAUAGAGCCCCAUAGAGCCCCAUAGCCGCCCCAUAGAGCCCCAUAGAGCCCCAUAGAGCCCCAUAGCCGCCCCAUAGAGC